GACGAACGCUGGCGGCGUGCUUAACACAUGCAAGUCGAGCGAUGAAGUUCCUUCGGGAAUGGAUUAGCGGCGGACGGGUGAGUAACACGUGGGUAACCUGCCUCGUAGAGGGGAAUAGCCUUCCGAAAGGAAGAUUAAUACCGCAUAAGAUUGUAGUACCGCAUGGUAUAGCAAUUAAAGGAGUAAUCCGCUAUGAGAUGGACCCGCGUCGCAUUAGCUAGUUGGUGAGGUAACGGCUCACCAAGGCGACGAUGCGUAGCCGACCUGAGAGGGUGAUCGGCCACAUUGGGACUGCGACACGGCCCAGACUCCUACGGGAGGCAGCAGUGGGGAAUAUUGCACAAUGGGGGAAACCCUGAUGCAGCAACGCCGCGUGAGUGAUGACGGUCUUCGGAUUGUAAAGCUCUGUCUUCAGGGACGAUAAUGACGGUACCUGAGGAGGAAGCCACGGCUAACUACGUGCCAGCCGCCGCCGUAACAC
rnacentral:rRNA from 1 species